AACAGGAUUAGAUACCCUGGUAGUCCACGCCGUAAACGGUGGGCGCUAGGUGUGGGGACUGGUUCCACGGUUUCCGUGCCGUAGCUAACGCAUUAAGCGCCCCGCCUGGGGAGUACGGCCGCAAGGCUAAAACUCAAAGGAAUUGACGGGGGCCCGCACAAGCGGCGGAGCAUGUGGAUUAAUUCGAUGCAACGCGAAGAACCUUACCUGGGUUUGACAUGCACUGGAUCGCCCUAGAGAUAGGGUUUCCCUUGUGGCUGGUGCACAGGUGGUGCAUGGCUGUCGUCAACUCGUGUCGUGAGAUGUUGGGUUAAGUCCCGCAACGAGCGCAACCCUUGCCCCAUGUUGCCAGCGGUUCGGCCGGGGACUCGUGGGGGACUGCCGGGGUCAACUCGGAGGAAGGUGGGGAUGACGUCAAGUCAUCAUGCCCCUUAUGCCCAGGGCUUCACACAUGCUACAAUGGCCGGUACAGAGGGUGGCGAGACCGUGAGGUGGAGCGAAUCCCAGAAAGCCGGUCUCAGUUCGGAUCGGGGUCUGCAACUCGACCCCGUGAAGUCGGAGUCGCUAGUAAUCGCAGAUCAGCAAUGCUGCGGUGAAUACGUUCCCGGGCCUUGUACACACCGCCCGUCACGUCAUGAAAGUCGGUAACACCCGAAGUCCAUGGCCCAACCCCCGUGUGGGGGAGGGAGUGGUCGAAGGUGGGACUGGCGAUUGGGACGAAGUCGUAACAAGGUAACC
rnacentral:rRNA from 1 species